ensembl:lncRNA
CGGCGUGAUUCUGUGAGGUUUCUCUCAAUGUUGUCAUUGUUCCCACAGUAACCGCUGUGAUAUAUAAGAUUUUAAUCAAUACAGUGUUGAUGAUACCGGAGCCAUCAUAAGGAAUUCUCAUCCAUUUACCCAGCAUCCUUAGCAAGCCUCUCACACUUGACGGUGUCGACAGACUUCUGAGAAGAAUGUGACUGAUCCACUAAACCAUCUGUUAUAAUACUUCAGCAUACACAUGCUUCUCAUAUUAACAUAUUCAGACCUCAUUAAAAUAUAUCAGCUGAAUAUAAGCUAUGACAUUUCUAUCGCUCGAGAUCAGAGAUAGACCUCACACUGUAUAUCACCAGCCUGCUAGAGGAGGAACAGGAAAAUCCAUAAGGACAGUGAGCGAAAUUCUCACUCAGCAUGACCUCCGCUGAAAUAUGCUCCCAAUUCUACUGAACAAUAAACAUCCAUGAACCUCUCAGGUGGAAAAUGACCAUCAGCCAUCAGUGAGAGCGGGUCUAAACACACAAACACAUGCAUGCUGGGCCAGCGGUGACAGCAUUACGUCGUUCCUACUGGAGAGACCACACAAGCAGAGGGAGGAAUGCUGGAGCCUUUCAUCUGGACGGAGGAAUGAAGGAUGAAGGGGACAGACGCUUGCUCAUUCAGACGGGAAGAUGUGUGAGACCUGCCAGAGCCCACCGUCUGCGUGCAGAGAUGACACAGACAGAAUUUUAGGAGACACAUCUGAGACAAACUUGAUAUCUGACACCAUGAAAUAGCAACCGCUAAGACAUAAAAUGCACAACUGGCCACAGUAAAGGGCACCUUCUGUCAAAACAGAGAAACAGUUUGAAGAUCUUGCUGAGCAGGUGAGUUCAAUUUGAUGUUUAUAGGAGCUGCUUGAAUUACAUAUCUUGUUUAAUUUGAACGGUUAAAUGAAACUCGUGAACCACUAACACAACGUGCUUACAAAGCCUUUCGAGUUCC